UACGGGGGGAGCAAGCGUUGUUCGGAUUUACUGGGCGUAAAGGGCGCGUAGGCGGCCACCGCAAGUCGACUGUGAAAUCUCCGGGCUUAACCCGGAAAGGUCAGCCGAUACUGCGGGGCUAGAGUGCAGAAGGGGCAACUGGAAUUCUCGGUGUAGCGGUGAAAUGCGUAGAUAUCAAGAGGAACACCUGCGGCGAAGGCGGGUUGCUGGGCUGACACUGACGCUGAGGCGCGAAAGCCAGGGGAGCAAACGGG
rnacentral:rRNA from 1 species